GAAUGCUGACAUAAGUAACGAUAAAGCGGGUGAAAAGCCCGCUCGCCGGAAGACCAAGGGUUCCUGUCCAACGUUAAUCGGGGCAGGGUGAGUCGACCCCUAAGGCGAGGCCGAAAGGCGUAGUCGAUGGGAAACGGGUUAAUAUUCCCGUACUUGGUGUUACUGCGAAGGGGGGACGGAGAAGGCUAUGUUGGCCGGGCGACGGUUGUCCCGGUUUAAGCGUGUAGGUGUGUGUUCCAGGUAAAUCCGGUUCACUUUAACACUGAGGCGUGAUGACGAGGCACUACGGUGCUGAAGCAACAAAUGCCCUGCUUCCAGGAAAAGCCUCUAAGCAUCAGGUAACAUCAAAUCGUACCCCAAACCGACACAGGUGGUCAGGUAGAGAAUACCAAGGCGCUUGAGAGAACUCGGGUGAAGGAACUAGGCAAAAUGGUGCCGUAACUUCGGGAGAAGGCACGCUGACACGUAGGUGAAGUGAUUUACUCACGGAGCUGAAGUCAGUCGAAGAUACCAGCUGGCUGCAACUGUUUAUUAAAAACACAGCACUGUGCAAACACGAAAGUGGACGUAUACGGUGUGACGCCUGCCCGGUGCCGGAAGGUUAAUUGAUGGGGUCAGCGCAAGCGAAGCUCCUGAUCGAAGCCCCGGUAAACGGCGGCCGUAACUAUAACGGUCCUAAGGUAGCGAAAUUCCUUGUCGGGUAAGUUCCGACCUGCACGAAUGGCGUAAUGAUGGCCAGGCUGUCUCCACCCGAGACUCAGUGAAAUUGAACUCGCUGUGAAGAUGCAGUGUACCCGCGGCAAGACGGAAAGACCCCGUGAACCUUUACUAUAGCUUGACACUGAACAUUGAGCCUUGAUGUGUAGGAUAGGUGGGAGGCUUUGAAGUGUGGACGCCAGUCUGCAUGGAGCCGACCUUGAAAUACCACCCUUUAAUGUUUGAUGUUCUAACGUGGACCCGUGAUCCGGGUUGCGGACAGUGUCUGGUGGGUAGUUUGACUGGGGCGGUCUCCUCCUAAAGAGUAACGGAGGAGCACGAAGGUUGGCUAAUCCUGGUCGGACAUCAGGAGGUUAGUGCAAUGGCAUAAGCCAGCUUGACUGCGAGCGUGACGGCGCGAGCAGGUGCGAAAGCAGGUCAUAGUGAUCCGGUGGUUCUGAAUGGAAGGGCCAUCGCUCAACGGAUAAAAGGUACUCCGGGGAUAACAGGCUGAUACCGCCCAAGAGUUCAUAUCGACGGCGGUGUUUGGCACCUCGAUGUCGGCUCAUCACAUCCUGGGGCUGAAGUAGGUCCCAAGGGUAUGGCUGUUCGCCAUUUAAAGUGGUACGCGAGCUGGGUUUAGAACGUCGUGAGACAGUUCGGUCCCUAUCUGCCGUGGGCGCUGGAGAACUGAGGGGGGCUGCUCCUAGUACGAGAGGACCGGAGUGGACGCAUCACUGGUGUUCGGGUUGUCAUGCCAAUGGCACUGCCCGGUAGCUAAAUGCGGAAGAGAUAAGUGCUGAAAGCAUCUAAGCACGAAACUUGCCCCGAGAUGAGUUCUCCCUGAGACUUAGAGUCUCCUGAAGGAACGUUGAAGACGACGACGUUGAUAGGCCGGGUGUGUAAGCGCAGCGAUGCGUUGAGCUAACCGGUACUAAUGAACCGUGAGGCUUAACCUU
rnacentral:rRNA from 1 species